rnacentral:rRNA from 1 species
AUUGAACGCUGGCGGCAGGCCUAACACAUGCAAGUCGAGCGAGCGGCGGACGCGUGUGUAAUGUAUGGGGAACUCUCCGUUAGAGGGGGAUAACACUUGGAAACGGUAGCUAAUACCGCAUACUCUCUGAUAAACCCCUAUGGGAUUAGCUAUGAGGUGGGGUAAUGGCUCACCUAGGCGACGAUCCCUAGCUGGUCUGAGAGGAUGAGCAGCCACACUGGGACUGAGACACGGUCCAGACUCCUACGGGAGGCAGCAGUGGGGAAUAUUGCACAAUGGGCGCAAGCCUGAUGCAGCCAUGCCGCGUGUAUGAAGAAGGCCUUCGGGUUGUAAAGUACUUUCAGCGGGGAGGCGUUACCCGCAGAAGAAGCACCGGCUAACUCCGUGCCAGCAGCCGCGGUAAUUC